AUUGAACGCUGGCGGCAGGCUUAACACAUGCAAGUCGAACGAGUGGCGGACGGGUGAGUAAUGUCUGGGAAACUGCCUUAUGGAGGGGGAUAACUACUGGAAACGGUAGCUAAUACCGCAUACCAUCGGAUGUGCCCAAGUGGGAUUAGCUAGUUGGUGGGGUAAAGGCUCACCUAGGCGACGAUCCCUAGCUGGUCUGAGAGGAUGACCAGCCACACUGGAACUGAGACACGGGCCAGACUCCUACGGGAGGCAGCAGUGGGGAAUAUUGCGCAAUGGGCGCAAGCCUGAUGCAGCCAUGCCGCGUGUAUGAAGAAGGCCUUCGGGUUGUAAAGUACUUUCAGCGGCGAGGCGUUACCUACAGAAGAAGCACCGGCUAACUCCGUGCCAGCCGCCGCGGUAAUAC
rnacentral:rRNA from 1 species